UACGGAGGGAGCUAGCGUUGUUCGGAAUUACUGGGCGUAAAGCGCGCGUAGGCGGCUUUGUAAGUUAGAGGUGAAAGCCCGGAGCUCAACUCCGGAACUGCCUUUAAGACUGCAUCGCUUGAAUCCAGGAGAGGUGAGUGGAAUUCCGAGUGUAGAGGUGAAAUUCGUAGAUAUUCGCAAGAACACCAGUGGCGAAGGCGGCUCACUGGCCCGGUACUGACGCUGAGGUGCGAAAGCGUGGGGAGCAAACAGG
rnacentral:rRNA from 1 species